UUUAGACCUCAGAUCAGGCAGGAUUACCCGCUGAACUUAAGCAUAUCAAUAAGCGGAGGA
rnacentral:rRNA from 1 species